rfam:Firmicutes bacterium CAG:129_59_24 Ley3_66761_scaffold_562, whole genome shotgun sequence.
GGGGGCGUACCGGUUUCGACGGGGGUGUGGAGGCAGGAUAAGCGGGCAGAGGCGCCUGGCCUCUAUAAAACGGGUAACUUAUAAAUUAAAGAACAACAACGAAGUUGCUCUCGCUGCCUAAGUAGGCGGCCGUCUGAACCGGAGAGGCCACGGACCGGGGAAGGCGUCGUAAACGUGGCGUCCGUGAGGCGGGAAAGAGUUGACCUGCCCACGCAUCAUGACUCUACCAAAGCGUAAGGUCCGUCAGGUGUCCUUGCGCGGAGGGAAUGUUUAAAUCCUGACUGCGCCCGGAGAAAGUCCUGUUAAAGUGCUUUCGGACGCGGGUUCGACUCCCGCCGCCUCCACCA